rnacentral:rRNA from 1 species
UACGAAGGGGGGCUAGCGUUGCUCGGAAUCACUGGGCGUAAAGCGCACGUAGGCGGCUUCUUAAGUCAGGGGUGAAAUCCUGGAGCUCACUCCAGAACUGCCUUUGAUACUGGGAGGCUCGAGUCCGGGAGAGGUGAGUGGAACUGCGAGUGUAGAGGUGAAAUUCGUAGAUAUCGCAAGAACACCAGUGGCGAAGGCGGCUCACUGGCCCCGGUACUGACGCUGAGGUGCGAAGCGUGGGGAGCAAACGG